rnacentral:rRNA from 1 species
GACGAACGCUGGCGGCGUGCUUAACACAUGCAAGUCGAACGGAAAGGCCCUGCUUUUGUGGGGUGCUCGAGUGGCGAACGGGUGAGUAACACGUGAGUAACCUGCCCUUGACUUUGGGAUAACUUCAGGAAACUGGGGCUAAUACCGGAUAGGAGCUCCUGCUGCAUGGUGGGGGUUGGAAAGUUUCGGCGGUUGGGGAUGGACUCGCGGCUUAUCAGCUUGUUGGUGGGGUAGUGGCUUACCAAGGCUUUGACGGGUAGCCGGCAUGAGAGGGUGACCGGCGACAUUGGGACUGAGAGACGGCCCAGACUCGUACGGGAGGAAGCAGUGGGGAAUAUUGCACAAUGGGCGGAAGCGUGAUGCAGAAACGCCGCGUGCGGGAUGACGGCCUUCGGGUUGUAAACCGCUUUCGACUGUGACGAAGCGUGAGUGACGGUAAUGGGUAAAGAAGCACCGGCUAACUACGUG